rnacentral:sRNA from 1 species
UGCUUUGUAAUUCAUGGUGUCGGUUG